rnacentral:rRNA from 1 species
UUGGAGGGCAAGUCUGGUGCCAGCAGCCGCGGUAAUUCCAGCUCCAAUAGCGUAUAUUAAAGUUGUUGCAGUUAAAAAGCUCGUAGUUGAAUUUCGGGGUUCUACCGUUGGUCGGGCUAUUGUCUGUACUGGCGUGUAGAAUUUCUACUUUCUGGGGAACUAUCAUGUUAUUAAUUUAGCGUGGUAGGAAACCAGAACCUUUACCUUGAAAAAAUUAGAGUGUUCAAAGCAGGCUUAUGUCUGAAUACAUUAGCAUGGAAUAAUAAAAUAGGACGGUGGUCCUGUUUUGUUGGUUUCUGAAUCACCGUAAUGAUUAAUAGGGAUAGUUGGGGGCAUUAGUAUUCAAUUGUCAGAGGUGAAAUUCUUGGAUUUAUUGAAGACUAACUACUGCGAAAGCAUUUGCCAAGGGUGUUUCCAUUAAUCAAGAACGAAAGUUAGGGGAUCGAAGACGAUCAGAUACCGUCGUAGUCUUAACCAUAAACUAUGCCGACUAGGGAUCGGACGAUGUUAACUUUUCUCGACUCGUUCGGCGCCUUACGGGAAAC